UCCGGUUUAGCACCGGCAGUCCUCCCAGAGUCCCCGCCAUUACGCGCUGGCAACAUGGAACGAGGGUUGCGCUCGUUGCGGGACUUAACCCAACAUCUCACGACACGAGCUGACGACAACCAUGCACCACCUGUGAACCAGCCCCAAAGGGGAAACCGAGUUUCCACGACAUUCCCGUGCAUGUCAAGCCUAGGUAAGGUUCUUCGCGUUGCGUCGAAUUAAACCACAUGCUCCGCUGCUUGUGCGGGCCCCCGUCAAUUCCUUUGAGUUUUAGCCUUGCGGCCGUACUCCCCAGGCGGGGUGCUUAAUGCGUUAGCUUCGGCACGGAGGGAGUCGACACCCCCCACACCUAGCACCCAUCGUUUACGGCGUGGACUAC
rnacentral:misc_RNA from 1 species